rnacentral:rRNA from 1 species
GUAAUAGCUCACUGGUCGAGUCGGCCUGCGCGGAAGAUGUAACGGGGCUAAACCAUGCACCGAAGCUGCGGCAGCGACGCUGAUGCGUUGUUGGGUAGGGGAGCGUUCUGUAAGCCUGUGAAGGUGUGCUGUGAGGCAUGCUGGAGGUAUCAGAAGUGCGAAUGCUGACAUAAGUAACGAUAAAGCGGGUGAAAAGCCCGCUCGCCGGAAGACCAAGGGUUCCUGUCCAACGUUAAUCGGGGCAGG